rnacentral:rRNA from 1 species
CGGGACGGGUGAGUAACGCGUGGGUAACCUGCCUUGUACAGGGGGAUAACAGUCAGAAAUGACUGCUAAUACCGCAUAAGCGCACAGGACCGCAUGGUCCAGUGUGAAAAACUCCGGUGGUAUAAGAUGGACCCGCGUUGGAUUAGCUGGUCGGUGGGGUAACGGCCUACCAAGGCGACGAUCUAUAGCCGGCCUGAGAGGGUGAACGGCCACAUUGGGACUGAGACACGGCCCAG